rnacentral:rRNA from 1 species
GAUGAACGCUGGCGGCGUGCUUAACACAUGCAAGUCGAACGAGAAGUGAAGACGGAAACCUUCGGGCGGAAGGCUUUAUUUCGAGUGGCGGACGGGUGAGUAACGCGUGGGUAACCUGCCUCAUACAGGGGGAUAACAGUUGGAAACGACUGUUAAUACCGCAUAAGACCACAGCACCGCAUGGUGCGGGGGUAACAACUCCGGUGGUAUGAGAUGGACCCGCGUUCGAUUAGCCAGUUGGCGGGGUAACGGCCCACCAAAGCGACGAUCGAUAGCCGAUCUGAGAGGAUGACCGGCCACAUUGGGACUGAGACACGGCCCAAACUCCUACGGGAGGCAGCAGUGGGGAAUAUUGCACAAUGGGGGAAACCCUGAUGCAGCGACGCCGCGUGAGUGAAGAAGUAUUUCGGUAUGUAAAGCUCUAUCAGCAGGGAAGAAAAUGACGGUACCUGAGUAAGAAGCCCCGGCUAACUACGUG